UGGACAGAUUAUUAUAUUCAGUUGUAUUCGACUGUAUUCACGACAUGAAAUAGGGGAUUACACUGUUUUUAAACAAAAAAUGAAUCAAUUGACAUAAUAGACUCCU
rnacentral:pre_miRNA from 1 species